rnacentral:piRNA from 1 species
UGGAAAGAUCAAAUCUGCCAA